AAAUUGAAGAGUUUGAUCAUGGCUCAGAUUGAACGCUGGCGGCAGGCCUAACACAUGCAAGUCGAACGGUAACAGGAAUCAGCUUGCUGAUUUGCUGACGAGUGGCGGACGGGUGAGUAAUGUCUGGGAAACUGCCUGAUGGAGGGGGAUAACUACUGGAAACGGUAGCUAAUACCGCAUAACGUCGCAAGACCAAAGAGGGGGACCUUCGGGCCUCUUGCCAUCGGAUGUGCCCAGAUGGGAUUAGCUAGUAGGUGGGGUAAAGGCUCACCUAGGCGACGAUCCCUAGCUGGUCUGAGAGGAUGACCAGCCACACUGGAACUGAGACACGGUCCAGACUCCUACGGGAGGCAGCAGUGGGGAAUAUUGCACAAUGGGCGCAAGCCUGAUGCAGCCAUGCCGCGUGUAUGAAGAAGGCCUUCGGGUUGUAAAGUACUUUCAGCGGGGAGGAAGGGAGUAAAGUUAAUACCUUUGCUCAUUGACGUUACCCGCAGAAGAAGCACCGGCUAACUCCGUGCCAGCAGCCGCGGUAAUACGGAGGGUGCAAGCGUUAAUCGGAAUUACUGGGCGUAAAGCGCACGCAGGCGGUUUGUUAAGUCAGAUGUGAA
rnacentral:rRNA from 1 species